CCCAAAUGGGCAAGAAAUUUGAAUAUUCUCUCUCCUGGCUUUUUGCUUUAAAAUGAGAAGACUGCAGGUAUGAAUCUGUCAAAUUCCCUGGGUCACAUGAUCUCCCCAGCCAGUGAGAGCCCUGCAGAAGUAAUGGCAACAACCUUCUUGGAUAAAUGCUCUAGCCUCCGCACUAUCCCUGCAUUCUCUCUGCAGCUCCUCAGCUGGUGACGCUGUCGUGAAUUGCUGAUCAAGACUACACUUUCUGCCCUGCGCAACGCCUCCCUGCAUGCGUGCUGCUUCCUGACUCCUUCAUGGAAGGCCCUCGCUCCUCCCAGCGACAGGGGCGCUUGGUGGCACGGGCCAUUCGGAGGUCUCCCUGAGGCGUGCAGCUACCAGCUCUGUCACCUCUGCAGCAAAU
rnacentral:lncRNA from 1 species